AACAUCGCGCACCUGCGGGAACCUGCGGAAGGAUCAUUACACAAUACAAUAUGAAGGCUGUCCGCAGCUGGAGUAUUUUAUUACCCUUGUCUUUUGCGCACUUGUUGUUUCCUGGGCGGGUUCGCUCGCCACCAGGACCACCAAAUAAACCUUUUUUAUGCAGUUGCAAUCAGCGUCAGUACAAACAAUGUAAAUCAUUUACAACUUUCAACAAUGGAUCU
rnacentral:misc_RNA from 1 species